rnacentral:rRNA from 1 species
AAUUUUGGACAAUGGGCGCAAGCCUGAUCCAGCCAUGCCGCGUGAGUAAGGAGGGCCUCGGGGUGGUAAGGCCCUUCGGGCCGGAAGGAAAUGCCGCAGCUAAAUACCUUGCCGGGAUGACGGUACCGCCAAAAACAGCCCCGGCUACCUACUUGCAGGCGGCCGCGGUAAUACGUAGGGUGCGAGCGUUAACCGGAAUUACUGGGCGUAAAGCGUGCGCAGGCGGUUGAUUAAGACAGGCGUGAAAUCCCCGGGCUUAACCUGGGAACUGCGCUUGUGACUGGUCAGCUAGAGUACGGCAGAGGGGGGUGGAAUUCCACGUGUAGCAGUGAAAUGCGUAGAGAUGUGGAGGAACACCGAUGGCGAAGGCAGCCCCCUGGGCCGAUACUGACGCUCAUGCACGAAAGCGUGGGUAGCAAACAGG